AGGGAUUCCGGUUCACAAUGGAUGCUGAUCAAGAGAAAGAUUUGCAGAAAUUUCUUAAAAAUGUGGAUGAAAUCUCCAAUUUAAUUCAGGAGAUGAAUUCUGAUGACCCAGUUGUGCAACAGAAAGCUGUCCUGGAGACAGAAAAGAGACUACUGCUUAUGGAGGAAGACCAGGAGGAGGAUGAAUGCAGGACCACCUUGAACAAGACUAUGAUCAGUCCUCCACAAACUGCUAUGAAGAGUGCAGAAGAAAUAAACUCAGAGGCCUUCUUGGCAUCUGUGGAGAAGGAUGCAAAGGAACGAGCCAAGAGAAGAAGGGAAAACAAAGUCUUGGCGGAUGCCCUAAAAGAAAAAGGGAAUGAAGCAUUUGCUGAAGGCAAUUAUGAAACAGCUAUCCUUUGCUACACUGAGGGUUUGGAGAAGCUGAAGGACAUGAAAGUGCUGUACACCAACCGAGCCCAGGUCAGUGAGGCAAGGAUGUGUCCAUGGGGCUUUCUCAGGGAAUAGUUGCCACUAAACC
rnacentral:sRNA from 1 species